CAGUCGCCGCGGUAAUACGAGGGGGGCAAGCGUUGUUCGGAAUUAUUGGGCGUAAAGGGCGCGUAGGCGGUUUGGCAAGUUUCGUGUGAAAUCUUCGGGCUCAACUCGAAGUCUGCACGGAAAACUGCCGGGCUUGAGUAUGGGAGAGGUGAGUGGAAUUUCCGGUGUAGCGGUGAAAUGCGUAGAUAUCGGAAGGAACACCUGUGGCGAAAGCGGCUCACUGGACCAUUACUGACGCUGAGGCGCGAAAGCUAGGGGAGCAAACAGGAUUAGAUACCCCCGUAGUCCCUGUCUCUUAUAC
rnacentral:rRNA from 1 species